rnacentral:sRNA from 1 species
GCUGGGUGUGGUGGUGCAUGCCUGUAAUCCCAGUGACUCAGGAGGUCGAGGCAGGAGGAUCAUGAGUUCAAAGCCAGUCUCAGCAACUUAGCAAGGCCCUAAGCAAUGUAGUGAGACCCUGUCUCAA